AACGCGCAAUGCAACAUCAACAACAACAAUGAGUAUAAACAGAAAAGAAUUGUUCACAAUGAAAUCUGUUCACAUAUAUUUAUGUUGUUUUUAUUUAUGCACUCUUACUUUCAUUUUCUGCAUCGAGAAUUUAUUAUUCACAUUAUUCUUA
rnacentral:ribozyme from 1 species